GACGAACGCUGGCGGCGUGCUUAACACAUGCAAGUCGAACGGAAAGGCCCUGCUUUUGUGGGGUGCUCGAGUGGCGAACGGGUGAGUAACACGUGAGUAACCUGCCCUUGACUUUGGGAUAACUUCAGGAAACUGGGGCUAAUACCGGAUAGGAGCUCCUGCUGCAUGGUGGGGGUUGGAAAGUUUCGGCGGUUGGGGAUGGACUCGCGGCUUAUCAGCUUGUUGGUGGGGUAGUGGCUUACCAAGGCUUUGACGGGUAGCCGGCCUGAGAGGGUGACCGGCCACAUUGGGACCGAGAUACGGCCCAGACUCCUACGGGAGGCAGCAGUGGGGAAUAAUGCACCAUGGGCGGAAGCCUGAUGCAGCAACGCCGCGUGCGGGAUGACGGCCUUCGGGUUGUAAACCGCUUUCGCCUGUGACGAAGCGUGAGUGACGGUAAUGGGUAAAGAAGCACCGGCUAACUACGUG
rnacentral:rRNA from 1 species